GCCUGAGCCGCCGCCAGAGGUGGCCGGUGCCACGUGUCCGGGGGGCUGAGGACGAGGCCAUGCAGCAUGGAGACCUGGGCAGCCUGYGGUGCAGGGGCCAGAGCCUGCCUGGCUGAGCAGCUCCCUUGGGGAGAGGCGCUGGUGCCUGGCUGAGCGGAUCCCUUGGGAAGAGGCGCUGUCCUAGGCUUGAGCAGACAGACCAGUCUUGGGCCUGCAGGGCACCUGCUGUGAAGGUUGUAACUGCAGAAGGGAGGCAGCUCCACAACGCUUGAGCUGCUGCCAAAGAGGAUUGAUUGAGAUUYGUCAGAAGCUGUCCCAGGAGCUGCUGUGAUCUCAGUGUAUUAGCAGGAAGCUGCCUCCUGCUAAUGAAGUCCCUUUGCAUUGCAAUUGUCAUCUCUUCUCCAAGCUUCAUGAACGUUGCCCUGUAGUUGGCAGGACAUCAAUUUAUCRCUCCCUACUGACUUGCACAUGAAGGGUGGUGGUGUGUGUUUUUCCUUCCUUGCUCAGUGGGAGGCAUUUAAUUGUACUGGAUUCUGGAACUUGCUGCAAGGUUAAUAUAAGCAGGUGCUUUGGCCUGCAAGAACUGCAUUCACCAUCUGGCAGUUAAUGUUACUUUGCUGCAGCAUUCAGAGAAUAGAAGCCUCUCCUCAGAAAGGAGUUGUGGUGUAUGGGAGGCUGGCCUUGUGCUGAGCUUYGCUCACUUGUCAGAUGGUAAAACAGGGAAGGGAUCUCAUGGAUGCCAUGGUGCUGCAGCCUGGGUUUCUCUACUCUUUCACACUUACUGUUUAAUAAAAUCUGAACA